UGGGGAAUUUUGGACAAUGGGGGCAACCCUGAUCCAGCAAUGCCGCGUGUGUGAAGAAGGCCUUCGGGUUGUAAAGCACUUUUGUCCGGAAAGAAAACGCCGUGGUUAAUACCCGUGGCGGAUGACGGUACCGGAAGAAUAAGCACCGGCUAACUACGUGCCAGCAGCCGCGGUAAUACGUAGGGUGCAAGCGUUAAUCGGAAUUACUGGGCGUAAAGCGUGCGCAGGCGGUCCGCUAAGACAGAUGUGAAAUCCCCGGGCUUAACCUGGGAACUGCAUUUGUGACUGGCGGGCUAGAGUAUGGCAGAGGGGGGUAGAAUUCCACGUGUAGCAGUGAAAUGCGUAGAGAUGUGGAGGAAUACCGAUGGCGAAGGCAGCCCCCUGGGCCAAUACUGACGCUCAUGCACGAAAGCGUGGGGGAGCAAAACAGGAUUCAGAUACCCUGGUAGUCCACGCCCUAAACGAUGUCAACUAGUUGUCGGGUCUUCAUUGACUUGGUAACGUAGCUAACGCGUGAAGUUGACCGCCUGGGGAGUACGGUCGCAAGAUUAAAAACUCAAAUG
rnacentral:rRNA from 1 species